rnacentral:lncRNA from 1 species
GUAACAGAUGAUGAACAAUUUAAGCUAUACGAGAUGGGUAUUUUUGAUUUUCGUGCAGCCACCAUGUUUCUUGCUCCGUUGGUUGUAGUUAUUCUCGUAAACUUUGCAGCAUUUGUUGGAGCUGUUUUCAAAGCUUUGGUUGUGGAUGAUAAUGGAGAUCGGUACUGGGAAAAGAUGUUCGGCCAAAUGUUUCUUUCGUUUUACAUAUUGGUUUCGAAUUAUGUAAUUAUUGAAGGGAUGAUUAUAAGGAAAGACAAGGCUAGUAUUCCACUAUCUGCUACUUUGUGGUCUGUUGUGUUUUCAGUAUUUAUCUUGUUGAUUGGCUCUGCCAUUUUGUGUUAAAUUUUGACAUUGGAAAAACAGAAAUACUUGGUUAGGAUUUCUAAGUUAUUUCAUGUUUUUAUUGUAUGUUGAAUUAUUGAAGGGAUGAUAUUAUAUAUGUUGAUCAUUUAUUUUUAUGCAUUUUUUUUUCUCAUCCAAAAAUAAUUUAUUUCAUAGAAAAAGCUCUUUAGAGGUAAUGCUUUUGGCUUGUUGAAGGUCUCUUCUCUUGUUUCUUUUGCAUUUUAUGAUUUGGAAAUUAAGUUGACGGGUUUGUGGAUUAGGGUUUGAACACUUAAUAUUUUUAUAGAAAAUAAAAAUGAAUAUUGUAAAAAUUUUCACUUUGAGAUUUCAAAAGCUUUAUUAAACACUUAAUUUUUUUAUUUUACUUUAUUUUUAGUUUUUAUUUUUAAAAGUUAUGCAAUAACAUUUUAUUUUUCUUUAAAAUUUUCGUUUUAAAUUAUGUUAGAUAAGUUUUAAAGUAUCAUUUAAUGGUUUUAAUAAUGGAAGAAUCUAAUUGAUAUAAUAUUAAUAGUUUAGGGAUGUUAUUAAAAUGUUUUAAAGUUUGGAGACCAAAUUUUUAUUUUUUUAGUUCUCUUUGAUUUUUUGGGCCAGUUUUAUAGUUGGGCUUGAAAGGAGUAAAAAUGGGUUUGGGCAUGUUUUGCAUGGCCUUUUUAGCUUUGUCUUUGGGUUAGUAAUAACGGAUUGCUCUAUUCGUAUUAUUUUGUUACUUGCUCUAUUUUUAUUAUUAUGUUUUUAUAGAGAUAAUUUUAGCAUUUUGGUUAAUUUUAUUAUAUUUUAUAAUUUUUUCAGCUUAAUUUUAUUAUAUUAUAUUUUCUUUGUUCUAAUUUUUACUUCCAUUUUAUUAUCAUUUUAAUUAUUUCUAGAUAGUAAUGAUUUUGUUCAAUUUGAAAAAAAAUGAAGAGAGUGUCCAGUUUGGUGGAGCAAAAUUUUUAGUGAAAAGUGCAUCUAAAGCUGCUUAUAUCUCAUUGUGAAACCAAAGAUUGGUGACAGCCUUCGCACCAACACCUGAGUUUUGGAAACUGCAAUAGGAUCAAUUCAACAACUCUAAUGGGAUAUUGAACAUUCCCAACUCUCAAGAUCACCAUCUCAUUAAUUUUACACAUACAAUUUGCAAUCAAAUGAAUGUUUCCCAUAACAAAAGAUUUAGGAUGGGCAUACCAUCGUCCACACUAAUAAAACUUCCUCAAUGAUUAGUGAUAUUUUGAAAUGUAGAGAUCGACCAAACAUGGCUCGGAACUCUAAAGCAAGUCAUCCAAGUUCUUCUACUAUUAACCAAAAUGUUUUCGGACCAUGACUCAACUUUUUGAACCACCUCACCAAAAUUUCACUUAACUCUUUUAUAACCUUAUUUGUUUUUUCUCCAUGGUUAAAUUCCAUUAAAACCAUUAGCCUAGAGACUCUUUUAAUGUUAGCAACUUGAAGGCCGCCCUCUUUUAACUGCAUAGCAAGGUCCUCUAGAAUACAUAAAUCUUUACACCAUCCCAUGAUACAAGACUGUAGAAAGUUUUUCUUCAUCAAUAGGAAUUGACUCUAUCUCUUUCUUACCUGUAGCCACUUACUCCAUGAGACAAUUCUUAUUUAUUGCUUUUUCUCCUCUGAGGGUUCCACUUGUAUUUGGAGAAUCUUUUGAUACCUCUGGAGCCUUUUUAGUAUUUGAUUUAUAUAAAUAAAAACUUCUAACAUUGAAGCGUGCAAAGUUGACCCAUAUUUUAUAUCCAAAUAAACAGAAACCGUUCAGACGAAGUGUCGCCCUUCUUGCAUUAGUAAAGUUUGUGAAUCUCACAAAACCAAAUCUUUCUCCUUUUUUACUUCUCUUUUUUGGAAUGUAGACAUCCACAACCAUGCCGUUAUACUUUCAUUUUCCAAAGACAUCUCCAUUGCAUGCGUGGAGGCAUGUUCAAUACAAAAACAGUAACACAACUUUGUCCACUACACUUGAUCAUGAUUUGUGGUACUUUAGGCUCGAAAAUUUAUUUUUCAACAAAAAUUAUAAGAUUGAAAAAUAGACUUGGAUAAAAAUACUCAUUUUUAGCUCAAUCCAACUUGAAUCAGUUAUUUUUUUUACUGUUUUACUAUCAUUUUGUUAUUAUAUUGCCACUAUAUUGUUGUUAUUGUUUAAAUAUUAUAUAAUUCUUGUUUUAUUGUUAGUUUUACUAUUAUUUUAGAGACAUUUGCGUGCCAAGUUGGAAUUAUCUUAAUGUUAUGUAAUUAUAAAGAUUGUUUUAAUGUAAUUUCAAUUUGUUGGGAAAUAUUUAUUUUAUUGUUUUUAAUGUAUUUGAUGCAUUACAUUUUUUAAAUUUAUUUUUAUAUAAAAAAUAAACUAAAAAAAUUAAUAUGGGCGGGCUAAGUCAGACUCGAGCAUAGCACUUUUAAUCUGGGCCGGACUUUGAUAGGAUUUUAAGCCCAUUUUUUAGGUCAUGCUAGACUUAAGACUAGAAAAGGAGCCUAAAAUUUUGUAUCAACACAACUCAAACCCGACCCAACUCGAACCCGACCCAACCCAUUAUCAAGCUUAUUGUCCAUGAUCAUCUUUACCUUCCAAUAAUAUAAAUUUUUUUAAAUACAAAAAAUCAUUAAAAUAAAAUUUUCGAAUUCAGAUGAUGUUGGAUUGAUUUAUGAGAUCAAUUCAAUGGGAUGUUCAAAAUAAAUAAUAAUAUAGAAAAUAUUUUAUUGAGAUGUUUAAAAAUAAAUAAUAAUAUAGAUAAAAAUAUAUAAUAUAUAUACAAAUAAAAAGAUAUCCAUCGACAUCCUAUGCCUAUUUAUUUCAAGGUUUUGGAGUUUGUGGAGGCAAAAUCACUAUCAACAAUCAUCCAUGGAGAACUCUGUUCCUCUGCAUGUAUGCCAUGUAAACAAAAUGUCCAUCAUCAUCAACAGAUCCCAUGCUAUCCUCCAUUCCAUAGCCAUACUGUUCUUGAUUCAUUACAGGCUUUCCUUCUUUUUCCAACAUCCCCAAAACAUCACCAUCCCCACUCUUCCAUGGCUUCUAAUCUUCGUCUCCGAGUUGCUUCUCUAUUUAGCAUGGCUCCUUUCACAAUCCCACCGUUGGCGCCCUGUUUACCGGACCGUUUUCCCCGAGAGAUUGCCAGCCGAUGAUAAGCUUCCGGCCAUUGAUGUUUACAUUUGCACUGCGGAUCCAAAAAAGGAGCCGAGUGUGGAAGUUAUGAACACUGUGAUAUCGGCUAUGGCGUUGGAUUAUCCACCGGAAAAGCUUCAUGUUUAUGUUUCCGACGACGCUGGCUCCGAUGCAACGUUGCGUUGUACGAAGGAGGCUUGGAACUUUGCCAGGUAUUGGGUUCCUUUUUGUAGGAAAUAUGGCCUCGUGACUGCUUGUCCGGACGUUUAUUUUUCAAGCUCCGAAGAUGGAUUUAAGGGUUCUUCUGAUUUCAAGGCAGAGAGGAAAAAGAUAGAAGUAAUAUACUGCAAAUUUAUACAUUAUUUAUAUACAUUAUAUGCUUAUUACAAACUUUGCUUUGUUAAAUUUAAAAUUACGAGCAGUCAUUAUCCUAAUUAUAGAACACUACAUUACCUGAAAUUUUUUUGAGUUAGGAAAUUAAAUUAUAUAUUUUUUAGUAAUAAAAAUAUAAUUUUAUUAUUUUAAUAAUUUAUAUUUUUAUAAUUUUUAAAAGGUUAAAUUAAAUUUUUAUAUUUUUGAGUCAAAAUAUAAUUUUAUCAUUAUUAAUUUAAAAUUUUAAAAAUCAUAAAGAGUCUAAAUUAAAAAAUUACUAUUUUAGGUAUAUAUCUAUUGUUAUAGUUUUAAGUUUUUGUUUAUAUAUUAGUGUAAGGUAUAUCUAGAGCUGAUCAUGGGCUGGGCGGCCCGGCCCGGCCCGAAGGCCCACUCGAAAAAUGGGCUUGGGCAAAAAAACGAGGCCCGUUUAAAAAACGGGCCGGGCCUCGGGUAAGAGUUUUUUGGCCCGGGCCUGGCCUGGCCCGGCCCGGCCCGAAUUAUAUAUUAAUAUAUUUUUUAUUUUUAAUUAUUUUAAAUUUUUAAUAUAACUAUUUUUUAUUAUAUUGUUAAUUUGUGUAUUGUUUUAAGAAUUGUUUUAGUAUUAUUUUUAUUUGUUUUAAUAUUUAUUUUUAUGUUUUUAAAUAUAUUUGAUUUAUUAUAUUUUAAAAUUUUUUUAUUUAAUGAAAUAAGAAAAAAAAUUAAUAUGGGCCGGGCUCGGAGCUUAGUAAUUUUAUUUCGGGCCGGGCUUGGGCAAAAUUUUAUGCCCAUAUUUCGGAUCGGGCCGGGCUCGGGCCUAGUAGAUUGGCCUAAAAUUUUAUUUGGGCCCGGCCCGGCCCAUGAUCACCUCUAGGUAUAUCGCAUACACAUGAUAAUAUUUAAAUCAAAUACACUAUAAAUUUUUAACUUUUAUCUUUCAAUCAAAGUCUUAUUUAAUUUUUAUAUUUAAACUUUUAAUAAAUAUAAUGAUAUGUAUUUUAAUUCUUUCAAAAAUUAAAACUUUUUAAAUAAAUAAAAUGAUAAAAUUAUAUUUAACCAUUCUAAAAAGUUUAUAAUCCAAUCUUAAUCUCUCUAAUAUAAAAUAUUUCACUUUAAUAUAUAAUAAAUACAUAUAUAUGAUUUGUGAUAAUAAUUUGCUACUCCUAAAGGUGUGUGAGUUGCAUUAUCAUCGAAAUUAAAGACUAUUAAUAUUGAUUUUGUACCAUUUGUUACUUUAUAUAAGUUACAUUUAUUAAAAUAUUAUCAGAUAAAUUAUAAUAUAAUUAUUGGACUAAAUUAUCAACUUAAUAUGAAUUAAUGUUUAAUUAAUUGAUUAAUUAUAUAUGACCAAAGGCAGAGAUAUCGAGAAGUGAAAAUUUUAAGUUUAUUUUUUUAUUUUUUAUUUUAUUUUAUUUUUUGUUAAGGAAAAAUAUGAAGUUUUGAAGCAACGGAUAAGGAGAAUUGUGCAAGAAAGUCAUACGGAUGUCGCGGCCAACAAUAAACUUGACCACUCAUCAAUAAUCGAGGUAUGUCCCCUAAUUUCAGUUCAUUUUUAUUUAUGUUUUUUUAAAAAACGUUUACUGUGUUUUAUGUAUUUAUUUUAUUAUUAAAAUGGGUAGUAAAAUUGAAGAUAAUUUUAUUACUAUUUAUACUUAUUUUUUUAUAUUUAAAACAAUAUGAUGUUUUUAAAACAAGCUAUAAAUUAUUUUGCAGGUUAUAAGUGAGCAUCACAAAGAGAAAGACGAAGUUAAAAUACCUAUGCUUGUUUAUGUUUCUCGUAAGAAAAGACUUUCUCGUCAUCAUAAUUUCAACGCCGGAGCCCUUAAUGUCCUUGUAUGUCACUUUUAGAUUUAUGAGUAAUUGUUUUAUUCGGUCGAUUUGAAUGAUUUUCUUCAACUAUAAUCAAAUGAUAAAUUAAUACAAGCUUAAUUGAUCUAACUAAACUGAUUUGAUAUUUUUUAGUUCAGUUGGUUAUUUCGAUUAAUCAACUUUUUUUUUUUACUAUAGUUUCUUUUUUAAAAAAAGUUGAGUUUGGUUGGAAGAUUGAAUUUAAUAUAAUCGGCUUGUUCAAGCAUAAAAAAAAGGUGCCCUCAUGAUCCUCUUUAGAGAAGGGGAAUAAAAUAUUGACAACACAUUCCCGUAAGCCCCCUUGGCAAGGGCAAGUAUAGGGAAUAUUCGCACAUCAACAAGGUCAAUUAAUUGGGUUAUGAAAUUCAAUAACCGAUAACCGAUCAACUUAAUCAUUUUAAUUAAGACCUUAACAAAUUUAACUGAAUCGAUUACUUAACUUGGUUAUCAUCGGUUCUUACUCAUCCCUUCUCUACUUCAAGUCACAUUUUCUUUUUCCUGUUAGCUAACAUAUUAAUAGCUCAUAUUAUGUUCUUUUUACUAUCAGCUUCGAGUCUCGGCGAUGAUAAGCAACUCUCCGCAUAUUCUAGUUCUUGACUGUGAUAUGCACUGCAAUGAUCCAACUUCAGCUAGGCAAGCAAUGUGUUACUAUUGCGAUCCUCAAACAUCUCAAUCUAUAGCAUUUGUGCAAUUCCCUCAAACAUUUAGAAAUAUUAGUGAAGAUGACAUCUACGACAGCCAACUUCGAUUUAUAUUCAAGGUUGAUAACUAAGAUGUGUAUAUAUAUUAAAAUUGAUCUUUUAAUUUGAUGAGAACGAGUGGUUGUUGAUUGUUUUAUUCAUUUUUCUCCGUUGAAUUCAGAUACAUUGGCUUGGUUUUGAUGGUGCCGGGGGACCAGCAAUAUCGGGUACAAACUUUUAUAUAAAGAGGAAGGCAUUAUUAGGCAGUUUUACUAAGCAACAAGGUGAGUCAAAUUGUUGUUACUACCGUAAACAAACAAAAAAAAAAAGAAAAAAAUACUACUGAAUUAAUGGUUUUUAUAUUGUUAUGGAAAUAUAAUAAUUUAUUAUUAUUUUGCUUAAGUUUGAAGUGAGGGAGGCUUGCGUAGACUCAAAAAUUAAUUUCACUAUUAAAAUAGAAAUAUUUUAAAAAAAAUAUUUUAUUUUAAUAUUUCUAUAUAUUUAAUAAAAAAAUUAUUUUUAUUAUUAUGAAUUAUUGUAUAUGGGUAGGGACAGGUAAGGUGACUCUCAACAUAUAUAUAUUUAACUUUGUAGAGAUGGUAAAGAAGUAGGUGACUUUUUGCCCGCCUCGAUCUCGAUCCAAAUUUUUUACCUUUAAUUAAUUGUAGCAUAAAUUAUUAACAAGUUUUUUGUAGGAUAUUAGAAGUAGAUAAAUUGAAAAGUUAUAACCAAUGACUUGUUAAUCUAGAUCUUAUGACACUCAAAAGAUCAUUUGGUCCAUCCAAUGACUUCAUUAAAACCCUAGUUGAAGACUACAAGCCAUGUUUCAUAAAAGAUGGAGAAUCGUCAAAGAUGUUGCUAGAAAAUGCCAAUGUUUUAGCCUCUUGCUCAUAUGAAGAUCAAACAACAUGGGGUACAAAGGCAAGUAUACAUUAGCUUAUUUCUCCUAAAUUUAAUGAUACUGUAUAAUUUUUUGAACAUAUUAAAUUUAAACUAUUUGUAUGACCGAUACACAUGUUUACAAAUUAAUUCUUGUAUUUUAGAUACACAUGUAUUUACAAUUUGAUGGCUAGAUUGAUAGAAGAAUUUGACUGAUGCAAUAUUGAUAUUUUGAGGAUUCGAUUAGAAGAUUUUGAAAUUUAGGGACUAAUUUAUAUUAUAGACAAUAGUUUAGAGAUGUUUGGUGUAAUUAACCCUUUUAUAUAUGUUUGUGCAGGUGGGCUUUUUGUACUUUUGUGUGUUGGAAGAUUACUUCACUGGAUUUACUUUACAUCGCAAAGGUUGGAAAUCAGUGUAUCUUUAUCCCAAAAGGCCACAAUUUUUAGGGACAGCCACCACAAAUUUUAAUGAAGCAUCAAUUCAAUGGACAAGAUUGGUAUCCGGCCUUACUAGUGUUGCUAUUUCUAGGUUUUGCCCUCUCAUUUGUGGGCCUCUAAAGAUGUCUUUGGUUCAUCUUAUGUGCUAUUUAGAAGCUGCAUGUAUGCCUCUUCUUUGUUGCCUCUCUGUUUGGGUUUUGCUCUUAUACCUCAACUUUGUCUCUUCAAUGGCAUCCCUUUAUACCCAAAGGUAAAAAGCAUUCAUAUUUGACAUCAUAUUAGUUAUUCUCUAUUAGGUCAAACUUUUAUUUAUUUAUUUUUUUGUGUCACAGAUUUCGGACUCGAACUUCAUCAUAUUUUCGAUAAUUUUCAUAUCCGCUAUUUCAAAAAUCUUAUAUGAAGUCGUUUCAUUCGGUGAUCAAUUUAAGGUAUGGAAAAAUGAAUGGAGAAUAUGGAUGGUGAAAUCCGUAACAUGUUAUACUUACGGAAGCUUGGAUGCUAUUUUGAAUAAGCUUGGCAUAAAGGAAGCUAGCUUUUUGCCAACCAAUAAAGUAACAGAUGAUGAACAAGUUAAGCUAUACGAGAUGGGUAUUUUUGAUUUUCGUGCAGCCACCAUGUUUCUUGCUCCAUUGGUUACAGUUAUUCUCGUAAACUUUGUAGCAUUUGCUGGAGCUGUUGUCAAAGCUUUGGUUAUGGAUGAUAAUGGAGAUCGGUACUGGGAAAAGAUGUUCGGCCAAAUGUUUCUUUCGUUUUACAUAUUGGUUUCGAAUUAUGCAAUUAUUGAAGGGAUGAUUAUAAGGAAAGAUAAGUCUAGUAUUCCACUAUCUGCUACUUUGUGGUC